rnacentral:rRNA from 1 species
AUUGAACGCUGGCGGCAGGCCUAACACAUGCAAGUCGAACGAGUGGCGGACGGGUGAGUAAUGUCUGGGAACCUGCCUGAUGGAGGGGUAUAACUACUGGAAACGGUAGCUAAUACCGCAUACCAUCAGAUGUGCCCAGAUGGUCUUCGCUAGUUGGUGGGGUAACGGCUCACCAAGGCGACGACCCCUAGCUGGUCUGAGAGGAUGAUCAGUCACACUGGAACUGAUACACGGUCCAGACUCCUACGGGAGGCAGCAGUGGGGAAUAUUGGACAAUGGGCGAAAGCCUGAUCCAGCCAUGCCGCGUGUGUGAAGAAGGUCUUCGGAUUGUAAAGCACUUUAAGUUGGGAGGCGUUACCCGCAGAAGAAGCACCGGCUAAAUCCGUGCCAGCAGCCGCGGUAAUAC